rnacentral:rRNA from 1 species
UACGAAGGGGGCUAGCGUUGCUCGGAAUUACUGGGCGUAAAGCGCACGUAGGCGGUCUUUUAAGUCGGGGGUGAAAUCCUGGAGCUCAACUCCAGAACUGCCUUCGAUACUGAAAGACUUGAGUUCGGGAGAGGUGAGUGGAACUGCGAGUGUAGAGGUGAAAUUCGUAGAUAUUCGCAAGAACACCAGUGGCGAAGGCGGCUCACUGGCCCGGUACUGACGCUGAGGUGCGAAAGCGUGGGGAGCAAACAGG